CGUCGGGAAGACUAUACAUGCAAGUCGAGGGGUAUAGAGAGCUUGCUUUCUAGAGACCGGCGGAUGGGUGAGUAACGCGUAUGCAACCUACCUUUUACAGGGGAAUAGCCCGGAGAAAUUCGGAUUAAUGCUCCAUGGUUUAAUUGAGCGGCAUCGUUUGAUUAAUAAAGAUUUAUCGGUAAAAGAUGGGCAUGCGUAUCAUUAGCUAGUUGGUGUGGUAACGGCAUACCAAGGCUACGAUGAUUAGGGGUCCUGAGAGGGAGAUCCCCCACACUGGUACUGAGACACGGACCAGACUCCUACGGGAGGCAGCAGUGAGGAAUAUUGGUCAAUGGAGGCAACUCUGAACCAGCCAUGCCGCGUGCAGGAUGACGGUCCUAUGGAUUGUAAACUGCUUUUGUACGGGAAGAAAUGUAAUUACGUGUAAUUAUUUGACGGUACCGUAAGAAUAAGGAUCGGCUAACUCCGUGCCAGCAGCCGCGGUAAUACGGAGGAUCCGAGCGUUAUCCGGAAUUAUUGGGUUUAAAGGGUUCGUAGGCGGUUGAGUAAGUCAGUGGUGAAAUCUUAUAGCUUAACUAUAAAAUUGCCGUUGAUACUGCUUGACUUGAAUAGUAUGGAAGUAAUUAGAAUAUGUAGUGUAGCGGUGAAAUGCUUAGAUAUUACAUGGAAUACCAAUUGCGAAGGCAGAUUACUACGUACUUAUUGACGCUGAUGAACGAAAGCGUGGGUAGCGAACAGGAUUAGAUACCCUGGUAGUCCACGCCGUAAACGAUGGAUACUAGCUGUUCGGUUUUCGGACUGAGUGGCUAAGCGAAAGUGAUAAGUAUCCCACCUGGGGAGUACGUUCGCAAGAAUGAAACUCAAAGGAAUUGACGGGGGCCCGCACAAGCGGUGGAGCAUGUGGUUUAAUUCGAUGAUACGCGAGGAACCUUACCAAGGCUUAAAUGUAGAUUGACAGGUU
rnacentral:rRNA from 1 species